rnacentral:rRNA from 4 species
CUAGAUAUACACAAAACAUGACAGUCAAUUUUUUCGAGAGUUUGAUCCUGGCUCAGGAUGAACGCUGGCUGUGUGCCUAAUACAUGCAUGUCGAGCGGAGUUCUUCGGAACUUAGCGGCGAAUGGGUGAGUAACACGUACUUAACAUGCCUUUUAGAUUGGGACAACGAUGAGAAAUUAUCGCUAAUACCGGAUACUUAUAUGGUUCGCAUGAACUAUAUAUAAAAGAAGCCUUUAAAGCUUCACUAAAAGAUUGGGGUGCGGAACAUUAGCUAGUUGGUAAGGUAAUGGCUUACCAAGGCGAUGAUGUUUAGCGGGGUUGAGAGACUGAUCCGCCACACUGGGACUGAGAUACGGCCCAGACUCCUACGGGAGGCAGCAGUAGGGAAUUUUCCACAAUGGACGAAAGUCUGAUGGAGCGACACAGCGUGCAGGAUGAAGGCCUUCGGGUUGUAAACUGCUGUUAUAAGGGAAGAAAAAGCAGUAGAGGAAAUGCUAUUGCCUUGACGGUACCUUGUCAGAAAGCAACGGCUAACUAUGUGCCAGCAGCCGCGGUAAUACAUAGGUUGCAAGCGUUAUCCGGAAUUAUUGGGCGUAAAGCGUCUGUAGGUUGUAUGUUAAGUCUGGCGUGAAAACUUGGGGCUCAACCCCAAAUUGCGUUGGAUACUGGCAUGCUAGAAUUGUGUAGAGGUUAGCGGAAUUCCUAGUGAAGCGGUGAAAUGCGUAGAUAUUAGGAAGAACAUCAACAUGGCGAAGGCAGCUAACUGGGCACAUAUUGACACUGAGAGACGAAAGCGUGGGGAGCAAACAGGAUUAGAUACCCUGGUAGUCCACGCUGUAAACGAUGAUGAUUAGCUGAUAGUAGAACUAUCGGCACAGCUAACGCAUUAAAUCAUCCGCCUGAGUAGUAUGCUCGCAAGAGUGAAACUUAAAGGAAUUGACGGGGAUCCGCACAAGCGGUGGAGCAUGUGGUUUAAUUUGAAGAUACGCGUAGAACCUUACCCACUCUUGACAUCUUCCGCAAAGCUAUAGAGAUAUAGUGGAGGCUAACGGAAUGACAGAUGGUGCAUGGUUGUCGUCAGCUCGUGUCGUGAGAUGUUCGGUUAAGUCCUGCAACGAGCGCAACCCUUGUCCUUAGUUAAUUUUCUAGGGAGACUGCCCGAGUAAUUGGGAGGAAGGUGGGGACGACGUCAAAUCAUCAUGCCUCUUACGAGUGGGGCAACACACGUGCUACAAUGGAUGGUACAAAGAGAAGCAAAACGGCGACGUCAAGCAAAUCUCAAAAAACCAUUCUCAGUUCGGAUUGUAGUCUGCAACUCGACUACAUGAAGUCGGAAUCGCUAGUAAUCGUAGAUCAGCUACGCUACGGUGAAUACGUUCUCGGGUCUUGUACACACCGCCCGUCACACCAUGGGAGCUGGUAAUGCCCGAAGUCGGUUUUGUUAACUACGGAGACAACUGCCUAAGGCAGGGCCGGUGACUGGGGUGAAGUCGUAACAAGGUAUCCCUACGAGAACGUGGGGAUGGAUUACCUCCUUUCUACGGAG